rnacentral:sRNA from 1 species
GCCGGGUGUGGUGACGUGCACCUGUAAUCCCAGCUGCUCGGGAGGCUGAGGUGGGAGAAUCACUUGAAUCCAGGAGGCGGAGGUUGCAGUGAGCCGAGCACUGCACUCCAGCCUGGGUGACAGAGCGAGACUCCGUCUCAA